rnacentral:rRNA from 1 species
UCCUACGGGAGGCAGCAGUAAGGAAUAUUCCACAAUGAGCGAAAGCCUGAUGGAGCGACACAGAAUGCAGGAUGAAGUCUUUAGGGAUGUAAACUGCUGUUGUAAGGGAAGAAAAAACUAGAUAGGAAAUGAUUUAGUCUUGACGGUACCUUAUUAGAAAGUGACGGCAAACUAUGUGCCAGCAGCCGCGGUAAUACAUAGGUCGCAAGCGUUAUCCGGAAUUAUUGGGCGUAAAGCGUCCGCAGGUUUUUUGUUAAGCUUAAGGUUAAAUGCUAAAGCUCAACUUUAGUUCGCUUUAGAUACUGACAAAAUAGAAUUAUGAAGAGGUUAGCGGAAUUCCUAGUGGAGCGGUGGAAUGCGUAGAUAUUAGGAAGAACACCAAUAGGCGAAGGCAGCUAACUGGUCAUAUAUUGACACUAAUGGACGAAAGCGUGGGGAGCAAACAGGAUUAGAUACCCUGGUAGUCC